rnacentral:rRNA from 1 species
UUGGGGUGCUCGAGUGGCGAACGGGUGAGUAACACGUGAGUAACCUGCCCUUGACUUUGGGAUAACUUCAGGAAACUGGGGCUAAUACCGAGUAGGAGCUCCUGCUGCAUGGUGGGGGUUGGAAAGUUUCGGCGGUUGGGGAUGGACUCGCGGCUUAUCAGCUUGUUGGUGGGGUAGUGGCUUACCAAGGCUUUGACGGGUAGCCGGCCUGAGAGGGUGACCGGCCACAUUGGGACUGAGAUACGGCCCAG